CUCGGUUAUUCGAGCAGCAUGGACCCACCUCUUCCCAUUCCGAACAGAGAAGUGAAACGUGUCAGCGGUGACGAUACUAAGGUCGCAAGGCCUGGGGAAAAUAACUCAUAGCCGGGG
rnacentral:rRNA from 1 species